rnacentral:rRNA from 1 species
AUUGAACGCUGGCGGCAGGCCUAACACAUGCAAGUCGAACGAGUGGCGGACGGGUGAGUAAUGUCUGGGAAACUGCCCGAUGGAGGGGGAUAACUACUGGAAACGGUAGCUAAUACCGCAUACCAUCGGAUGUGCCAAGAUGGGAUUAGCUAGUAGGUGGGGUAACGGCUCCACUAGGCGACGAUCCCUAGCUGGUCUGAGAGGAGGACCAUCCACACUGGAACUGAGACACGGUCCAGACUCCGACGUGAGGCAGCAGUGGGGAAUAUUGCAAAAGGGGCGCAAGCCGGAUGCAGCCAUGCCGCGUGUAUGAAGAAGGCUGUCGGGUUGUAAAGUACUUUCAGCGAGGAGGCGUUACUCGCAGAAGAAGCACCGGCUAACUCCGUGCCAGCAGCCGCGGUAAUUC